ACGCUCGACACCUACGGGAGGCAGCAGUUGGGAAUAUUGGACAAUGGAGGGAACUCUGAUCCAGUGACGCCGCGUGAAGGAAGAAGGUCUUCGGAUUGUAAACUUAUUUUAUCAGGGAAGAAAGAAAUGACAGUACCUGAAGAAGAAGGACCGGCUAACUACGUGUCAGCAGCCGCGGUAAUCUGAGCGGGCUGGCAAGGC
rnacentral:rRNA from 1 species